rnacentral:rRNA from 1 species
UACGUAGGGUGCAAGCGUUGUCCGGAAUUAUUGGGCGUAAAGAGCUUGUAGGCGGUUUGUCGCGUCUGCUGUGAAAUUUCGGGGCUCAACCCCGAACUUGCAGUGGGUACGGGCAGACUAGAGUGUGGUAGGGGAGACUGGAAUUCCUGGUGUAGCGGUGAAAUGCGCAGAUAUCUGGAGGAACACCGGUGGCGAAGGCGGCAUCCUGGACCAUGACUGACGCUGAGGAGCGAAAGCCAGGGGAGCAAACGGG